AACUUACCAUCUGGAUUAGUACUAGCUUGAACAUUUCGUAAAUGUUGAUCGAGCAACGCAGCAGGCACUUGAUCUUUGAUAGCUGCAAAUUCUUCCAUUGCUGCUUUAGCAGCGCUAGCAGCUACUCUCGGAUCAACAACUGAAGCUAGGAAUGCAACGGUGCUCAUUACUGGAUUACCAGCCUUUGAAAAUGGAACUGGCUGGUAAGCGAGUGGUCCUAAGCCUUCGGGACCACCUUCUUCGAGGUAUGGGUCCUCAAUGGGAAGCCGUAGGAAGUGAACUCCAGCAGCCUGCUUGCUUUUCAAAACAGCAGGUUUUCUCGAAUACUGAUCAACCUUAAGACCGAAGUUUGCCAUCACACCUAUACCGCUCUUUUCUUCUGGUCCCACGGCUGCAACUAUGGGUUUCUUCUCCAAAUCUAAUAAGGACUUUGCAGCACUUGUUGGUUGAGGAGUCUUAGGUGGAUUUGGAUUAACAGGAGCCAAACCAGAUGGAGUAUCUGAUAGAACAUGAAAAUGGGAAGUAGGCGGCGGACCCAUUGGAGUUGGACGGGAUUCUGCGUCAACCUGGUAAUUAAUAAGACCCCAUUGCUCCAAAAACGCGUGGACCCGCAUGAUGGCACAUACAUCUCCUGCCAAAUUAC
rnacentral:misc_RNA from 1 species